rnacentral:lncRNA from 1 species
AGGGGUUUUGGUUCUUGACACUUGUUACGGCACCGUAGUCUCUCCAAUCAAUACUUUGAGGCACCGCGGAGAUGUCUACGUCAUCAAACGACACCACUGGCUCUCUCUCGAUAUUUAGUGGGCGAGAUAUACCACCAGUAUAUUGAGCAACAAAUUCGUUAUUUGUCAUAUCGGUAAACUGAUUGAUGCCGAGAGUGUACGAAUUUUUAUUGCGACUGUUAAAGGUUUCGAUAUGGUUCACGUUGUUCUUGAAUAUCUGAAACCGGCGCAUCUUCUCAUCGUUGUCCUUGUAAACUCGGCCGUACUCCACCAUCCAUUCUUCAAACCGCUUCAUCAUGGGAUCACUGGGUUCGUCAGCAGAAGCUGCCGAUGGCGAAGCCCACAUCACACAGAGAAACAAGAAAAGAAACACGAGUUGAACUUUCCAAGCCAUGCUUAUGUAGCACUAAAUAUCUGCUAUAUGUAUGAGGAAAUUGGAGAUCGAGCUACAAGAGCUUUUGUUGCUGAGAGUAUGGUCUCAAGAUCGAGUUUAUAUAGAAGUUCGUGCCUUCGAAUGUAGGGGGGAGAAUUAAUGGGUGGAGGCCUACAAGAUGUCACAAAUCGCCAUCAAAUUAAGAUUAAAUAGUUCUGGACGGCUUGCGACACCACGUCAUGUGGUCACUAGUGUAGAUAUUAUUGAAAUAAAAAUUUGUAUAAAAUAAAAUAUCAGUUUGGUAUGAAAAAAUAAUAAAUAUAGUCUAUAUUAUAAACAAACACUUCUAAACAAAAUAAAACUAAAAUGAAAAAAAAAUUAAUCGUUCCAAUAAAAUUAUUCAAGCUUGUUAAAAAAAAAUCGCAUACAUACAAAUGGAUGAUUAAAAUUAUUUUUAUAAUACAAUAAUAAGAUAAAAUAUCAUAUAGUAGUUGAUAUGAUUAAAAAAAAAAACUCACAAUAAUAUGCAAGACUAUAUAUAUAUAUAUAUAUAUAUAUAUAUAUAUAUAUAUAUAUCGAGUUGAGUUAGAAUGCUAUCGAUAGCGAACGGGCUCUGUCGCCAUCCAUUUGUUUUCGAUGAUGGAGCCUUCAAAUCGACAAUCGGCAUCUUUGAACAUGAUUUAUAUCACUUGAAAUACUGAGAAAUAAAAUUUUAAAUCUUUUCGAAAUCAUUUACCUAAUGAUCAAAGGGUUUCAAAAUUUGUAAUUUUAAUAGUAGAUGUGAGAUGUUUUCUCGUUUAACGGUAUAAAGCUAUCGAAAUCAAUUAAAUUUUGGUUACAAAAUUAUUUAAACUAUUUAGAUUAAGNUUUUAAUAUAUUUUUUGUCUAAUUUGUAUAUUUAGAAAAUGAUGAAAAAUGAAUUUGUUAAAUGUUAAUAAUUUUUUAAUUUUAGAAUUUUAUUUGUUGCAUUAUUAUAAUUUAUAUGCAAACAAAUAAUAUAUUUUUAAAAUUUUAUUUUAUAAUUAUACAUAUAUAUAAUUAUAUACAUAUAUAAUUAUAUUAAUUUUUAUUUAUUAUAAUUUAUUAUUCACUAAGUAACAAAAUAGACAAUAAUAUCACUUCGGAGGUAAGUAUACCGGGGGUGGAGAGCUACACUUUUUAUAUCAUCUAUUUCCUACCAAACAAACAACAGAACUCACAGAACUGCACUUCCACAGUUAGAAACAAACAGCUGAAGUGAAUUAAUUUUCACCUAAACUCCACUUUUAUCCAAAGUCCACUUCCACCCAAAGUCUACUUACGUUGAAACAAACAUGCUCUUAUUGGAGAACCGCCAAAAAGGAUGGAGCGGGGCCAAGUUUCUCAUGGUGCUACUACUAUGUGGGCCAAGAGCCAUCUCGAUCCGCAUAAUAUAUUUUUUACAAAAAUAUUUUUAAUAGAAUAAAAGUUUUUUACUAAAUAUUUUUUAUUUAUAUAAAUAUCAAUGACUAUUUAUGAGUCCAGCUAGGAUACUAUCGAUAGCACCAAGGGUUUGGUGCUAUCGAAUUUUCAACCGUUAGAUUUAACUCUUUGAUUAUUUUUACCUGUUUGAUUAUACUAUUCAACAACCACCCACUCUACCUAGGGGAUCCACAUUAUCCUAACUGUAUAUUUUUUAAUUUAAAGACUAAAAAACUAAUAGCACCAAGCUAUUGAUAGUAUUCCAGCUUAGUUCGACCAUUUAUAUCUAUAUAUUUUAAUAUUUAUUCUUCAUUAUACAUUGGCUUCAUAGUACUAUUGUAUAACACAACCCAAUUAUGUGGCUAGGUCGAGUUACAGCAAACCCUUAUUUCCACCCUAGAAUACGCGCAUACACAAUUGCAUUGCAUAAGGAGACAAAUGUUCGAUCCAUUUUGUAAUACUAAUUAAUAAGCAGAAGUACUUGAUCACAGUAAUUAAGGAGCACACUUAACUGUAGAUCUUCAAACUAGCUUACAUAUAUACUCACUGAACACACCGAAACAUAACAGAAAUUAACCACAAUGUCGAAGCAAGCAGCUGAACAAAUGGAUGCGUACAUGCAUCCUUAUUUUAUAACUAAGCAAAUAUAUAUGAUAGCAAACUGCAUGCAGUGCGUUGCUAAUCAUCAUCACUUCCGAUCGACCUACACUGAGCUUCGACUUUCAGAAACCAUUUUAAUGGCUUCGACAUUGGCCCCUGAUUCUAGAGUGGGAUAGAGAGAAUCAAUGGCGAUUCCACAUAUUCCAGAUGACGAUGACACAUCUCUUGCCAUACGGAUGUAUCCGGCCUCACCCCAUCUGGCACCCCAUGAGUUCUUUACUAUCCAAUAUUUUUUUCCGUUGCUAUCCUGCCCGUAACCUAUAGCGGUGACGGCGUGAUUGAGACUAGUUCCACAAGGUCCGUUAAACACACCGCUCUUGUAAUAUUGAAAGUUUGCAUUGGCAUCGACAGCAACAGUUAUUGGUUGUUUCGACACAGCGUACAUCAUGCUGCUUUCGUUGUUCCUCGGCACACGUGCAUAACCAGUAAUAUAAGCUGAAUUGGGCACGCCAUUGGUCUUGCAGGUGCCUUUGGCUGCUUUGUAAGGGUAGAUAGCUGCCNUUGGAAUCGGACCACGUGUUGCACGUACGGAAUAGGGAGUGAUAAGAAAAAUCUCAUAAAUUAUUAAUACCGUCCAGGCUCUCUUGAGCGAUUAGGAUGUGUAUGGUUGCACGUAAAAUUGUGAAAAAAAAAUUUAUCAAGAAAAAAAAUUUUGGUGGAAAAAAAAUUUUACGUCUUUAGUGUUUGAUUUGUAGGAAAAGAAAAAUAUUUUUUCAUGACUGUUGUUUGGUUGAAAAGAAAAAAAUUGAUAAAAAACUAUUUAAUAUAAUUUUUUAUUAUAUAUUAUUAAUAUAUUAUUAUAAUUUUUAUUUAUAGAUUAAAUAUAUUUAAAAUUAUAAUAAAUAUAUAACAUAAUAUCUAAGCUUACCCGAAUGCCACGCCUUGUUAGAUAUGAUGAAUUCGAAGGCUCCUGAACUCCCAGCCGCCCUUUGCACCCCAGUAGCCUUUAGCACAAUCGAAACUUUGCUGCUCCGGUUGAUUUUUUUUGUAAAAGGUUUCUAAAGAUCCCUUUGUUUGAUCUUGUGAUUGAUUUCUAAACCCGUCGCAAUUGCAGGCGAAUGCCACAGCAAGCCACCUGUGCCGAAACAAAGAUUGAAAUCGGUGUUAGCAUAGCUAGUGUAAAGCAAAGUAAUAUAUAUGUAGUUGCCAUGAUAAAAGAAAAACAUUCCAACUAAACCUAAUUAGAUGUUAUUUGUCAAGUAUUGCAGCUGCUUUUAACUUGUUUCAAGUCAGUUGUCAUGCAUAGGGAUGUCCCAUUCUUUUGACUAACACCGUACAUAUUUUGCUUAACUUUCAUAAUAUUAUUGUAAUAAACUUAAUUAAUAAUAGAAAUUCAAAUAAUAACCUAACGCCUAGAUGAUUGAAAUCAAGGUCGAAGUCUAUGAUGUUAUGGUUGAAGUCUUUAAGUGUGUUUUGGAUGAGCAAUUCUUCUUAAUCAGCCAUGUAUUUCUGUAAUCAGUUUGAUUGUGACUUAUGAUCCACAGUUCCGAUCAGGCAAGGCGAUGAUUUUUUAUACUAGAUUCAAACUUCCUUGUAUGAGAAUUGAUAAUAAAUGUCUAGUGAAUGUUUAGAGCAAAAUAAUAGAUUAUUGCGUUUUAGUGGUGGAGUUUUGGUCCUUUAGCCAAAAACGGCGGAAGGCACUUCAUUGGUGAGAUUUGAUCUAAGCAACAUGUUUAAAGUUAACUAAGGUAGCAUUUGGUUGGGAAUAAUAGGGAAAUAAAGCCCUUGUUCUCAAACGCAGCUUUGUAUCGCGAGAAUAAAUAGUUAAUUCUCGAGUUUCUAAAAAUGCCCGGGUAUAGAAGAUUGGAAAGCGUUGUUCCAAACCUUUUUCUGGAAAAGUUUGUUCCUAGGUGAGCAAUAAGAUUAUUAAAGUCUAAAUAGUUUAAUUUAUGGUAUUCGAAUUAACUUAAUUAAUUUAAUUAAUAUAUUUAAAAUUACCUAUUUAAAUCUUUAAAUAAUAAAAUAAUGUAUUAAUUUAUUAUAAUUAAUUAAUUAAUUUAUAAUUAAUAAGAAGUUCGUAUCUAUUUCUAAAUAAGCGUUUUUACUAUACCCAAACCAAACGCAGCCUAAAUGGAAUAGGUAUUGUCUCCCUAAAGUUGCAAGAAAUGAAUUGCAUUGAUAAUUUAUACGCUAAAAUAUUUCUUACGCACAGGCGGUUUUGGUGCUAUGACACUUGGUUAGGCGGCAACCGUAGUUCUUCCAAUCAAGUACUCUUGAGGGCACGCGCGGAGAUGUCUACGUCAUCAAACGACACCUACUGGCCUUCUCUCUCGAUAUUUAUGGGCGAAGAUAUACGCACCAGUAUAAUUGAGGGGCAUAAAAAAUUCGUUACUUUGUCAUAUCGGUAACUGAUUGAUGCCGAGAGUGUACGAAUUUUCGUUGCGACUGUUAAAGGUUUCGAUAUGGUUUCACGUUGUUUCUUGAAUAUCUGAAACGGCGCAUCUCUCAUCGUUGCUUGUAAACUCGGCUCGUACUACACCAUCCAUUCUCACCCGCUUCAUCAUGGGAGAUCACUGGUUCGUCAGCCAGAAGCUGGCGAUGCGAAGCCCACAAUCACAACAGAGAAUACAAGAAAAGAAACACGACUUGAACUUUCCAAGCCAAUGCUUAUGUAGACUAAUAUCUGCUAUAUGUAUAGGAAAUUGAGAUCGCAGCUAAAGAGCUUUCUUCUGUGCUGAGAUGGUCUCAAAAAGAUCGAGUUUAAUAUAGUAAGUUCGUACCUUCGAAUGUAGGGGGGAGAAUUAAUCGGUGGAGGCCUAACAAGAAUGUCACAAAUUCGCCAUCAAUUUAAGAUUAAAUAGUUCUGACGGCUUGCGACCCACGUCAUGUGGUCACUAGUGUAGAUAUUAUGAAAUAAAAAUUUUGUAUAAAUAAAAAUAUCAGUUUGGUAUGAAAAAUAAUAAAUAUAGUUAAUAAUUUAUAAACAAACACUUCUAUAACAAAAUAAAACUAAAAUGAAAAAAAUUAAUCGUUUUCCAAAUAAGAAUUAUUCAAGCGCUUGUUAAAAAAAACGCAUACAUACAAAUGGAUGAUUAAAAAUAUUUUUAUAAAUACAAUAAAGAUAAAAUAUCAUAUAGUAAGUUGAUAAUGAAUUAAAAAAAAAAUCACAUAAUAUGCAUAGACUAAUAUAUACUAUAUGAUAUAUAUAUAUAUAUAAUAUAUAUAUAUCGAGUUGAGUUAGAAAUGCUAUCGAUAGCGAACGGGGCGCUCCGCGCCAUCCAUAUUGUUUUCGAUGAUGGAGGCCUUCAAUCGACCAAUGCUCAUCUUGAAACAUGUUUAUACCAGUUGAAAUAUUAGAAAGUCAAUUUUAAAAUCUUAUUCGAAAUCUAUUUACUAAUGAAUCAAAGGUUUCAAAUUUGUAAUUUUAAAUAGUAGAUGUGAAGAUAGUUUUCUCGUUUAAACGGUAAUACAAAGCUAUCGAAUCAUUGAAAUUUUUGGUUCAUCAAAAUUAUUUAGACACUAUUAGAUUAAGAUCUAUACUCCCUGCAUGCUUGAUUAUAAAUUUCUAUCAUCACUUUUUAAGAAUAUUCAUUUUCAAACGUUCAUUUCCACUUGAUGACAAGAAAGCAAUAUCCGAAAAAGUACGAACGGGUCUUCAUUUCAAAGAUCCUUCAAAUGGUAUACACUAUAUCAUUUUCAAUAAUAUCCCGAUCGCGCGAUUGGAGCUCCAUCAUGCGACGCAACCCGAUUCAAGUUCAUCUCAUGUUCCUUGAUCCAAAAGAUUCUAUCAAUCUCAUUCUCUUCACGAUAUCCUGAAGUGCAAAUUAAAGCAUAUGGUACACCCAAAAUCAAUCAUGCAUUAUACUUUUUUAGUGUAGUAAUUUUCUUAAACUUUAUAAAUUAUAUCAACAAAUUAAAUUUUAAUUUUAAAAGUUUUUAGAGGAAAAUAUAAUUAGUUUACAGCAUUUUGUUCAUUUUGAGAUCUUUUUUUAUCGCCCGAGUAAAACGCUAGUAAGACAGAUGUAGUACGCAAUCAUGCCUAUGCUGAGAUUCCUUGAAAAUUUUUGAAUGUAUCGUCAUCUUGAUAAAAAGUGGCCACCUCCAAUCAAUCCAACAAUUUUUUAAAAUUUAUUUUGUUCACAUAAUAAUUAUAAAGAUAUAAUUUUAUUAUAUAUUUAAAAUAAAUAUAAUUAGUUUAUUAUUGAUAAUAUGGAUGUUAUUUAUUAUUUAUUUUUUUGAGAGCCAGAUAGUAUAUCUACCACUUAUUUUUAAUAGUCAUUUAAAAUACAGAACUGAACAAUAUGAAUUAAUAAAAUAAUUGUUAUUAUUAAUGAUGUGAUGUAAGUAUGAUACAGCUAAAUUUUUUCCGCAGGCCAUCUAUAAUGCCUUUAUCGGACAAAUAACUCAUGCAUUCAUUCCUUUCUAUAUUAUUAGGAAGCAUUUUGGUGCUCGUCCUUUGUUUGGACAGAUGGCAAUCAUCGAAUGAGGGGGCCCCGUACAAACCUUCACUCUCCGUACCAAGGGUUAUUGCAGCUAUAUUUGUUUAUUGACAUCGACCACGUGUUGCACGAGCGGAAAGGGAGUGAUAAGAAAAUCUCAUAAAUUAUUAAUACGUCCAGGGCUCUCUUGAGUCAUUAGGAUGUGAUAUGGUUGACGAAAUUGUAGAAAAAAAAAUUUAUCAAGAAAAAAAAUUUGGAUGGAAAAAAAUAUUUAGUCUUUGUGUUUGAUUUGUAGGAAAAGAAAAUAUUUUUCAUGAAUGUUGUUUGUUGAAAAAAAAAAUUGAUAAAAAGACUAUUUUAAUAUAAUUUUUUAUUAUAUAUUAUAAUAUAUUAUUAUAAUUUUUAUUUAUAGAUUAAAUAUAUUUAAAAUUAAUAAAUAUAUACAUAAAAUGAAGAGUUAUAAUUUAGAAGAAUUAAUAAAUAUAUACUAUAUAUAUAUAUGGUUGUUUCGUUAGAAGAGAAUAAAAAAAUGAAAAGUAAAUAAAAAACGAUUUAUAUAUUCUUUUUUUAUUAUUAUAUAUAUUAUAUAGGAAAUUUCAUAGAUGCCCUUCAGGAACCUAUUAAUUUCCAUCAAUGCCCUUCUAAAACUGAUAAUAUGCAUGAAUGCCCUCCAAAUAUAUCAACAAAUUUCAUAAAUACCUUCACUAGUUAAGUUCGUCAAAGUCCCUUUAAAAUAGAGUUAUAUUUUUAAAAUGGCCAUUUUUACGCCUUUAUCUCCCCAUUAACAGUAGAAGAAUAUCUAAAUAGAUAUUUCAAGACAAUUUCUAUAUCACCUAAGUUUAAUUAUUAAAUUAAAUUAUUAAUAUUAAUUAAUUAUAAAAAUAUAUAAUUAUUAAUUGUAUUUUAUAUAAUAGUAUGUUUUAUAUGAUUCUUGGUUUUGUUUCGGGCUGAUUUCGGUUCAGGUUUGGUUUAGAUAUAAAUCAAAACGCAUUACCAUUGAGUUUGAAAUAUAAUGUGAUGUUUAUUUUUUUUCAUCUAAGCUUUAACUGAAACUAUAUGAGUUUUAUAAAUUAUAUUUAAAAGUANNNNNNNNNNNNNNNNNNNNNNNNNUUCUUAGUUAGUCAUAGGAUAUAUAUAGGAUGUUAAGAUCUGUAUAAUUGGGAAAGUGAGGGGUUUUGUAUAGAAAUUUGUCUUGUCGAUAUUAUUGAUUGUUUACAAGUGCUAAACUGUUAAAAUCUCACAACACACCAUAUGGCGAAAAACUGUAAAAUUGUUAUUUUGAUGAUCUUUAAUUGGAUCGACAGUUCAGAUGAUUCGAAAAAAUUGAAAUUUAGGUUCGAAAUAAUUUCAAUAGUGUAGGAUCAAUUUAACGGAGCCGUCGUACGAUAUGGAACGGAUCAUUGAGAAACUAACGUUGUAGCAUGAAGCAGCAUCCUCCUAACCGAUAAGCAUACGCUACUGAUGCGAUAUUAGAUUAUAAUAUAUUAAUAAUAGUAUAUAAUUAGUAUAUACUCAUGUUAUAUUAUAUCGAGCUAUAUAGUAUUAGUAUUAUAUAUGAAGCGAGCUUAUGAUCUUUGUAAAAGAAUCAUGAACUUGAGCUUGCUUGUAAUUUUUGCAUGUUAGAUUUACUAUUUUACUCUUUUCAUAUAUUAAAUAUACUAUACAAUCAAUCGACCAUACUCAACAUGAGAUAAUAUCAUCCUAACGACUCUCCUUAAUCAAGGACCAGAAAAUCUAUAAGCAGAACUGAUUUGAAUAUUUUUAAAAGUAUAAGGACUAUUUUUGUAUUAGAGAAAUCGUUGCUGCUCAAGAAAGAUAGAGGCAUUAGUACUCUUAAAUUAUUUAUCGCUAUGGAGAUUUCAAAUCUGUAAUCCAGUCCGUAAGCUUGAUAUAUAUAUUUUGAUUUAUAAAAUAAAUUUAUAUUACUUUUUGAUAAUGUUUUUAGUAAUAGACAAGCGUUCAAAAUCAAUCGAUUAAAAAAACGGUGAUAAAGAAAAUAAUGAUAUAACGAUGUAUAUUAUAGGAUAUGUGGCCGGCGCAAAUAUAAAAAAAUAAAAAUAAGAUUAAAAGAGUAAAAUGAAAACCUACGCCAAACGAAAAAAGCCUCCGCAAUACAAGGAUAUAAUCUACAUUAUACACAAGUGAACAAGACGGAUAACAACAUGCCGCCCAGCAUGACCACGGAAAAACGAAGAUCGGCGAGAUAAUAGCGAAAACAAGAAUAUCAGCGGAACUUAUAAGAUUCGCGCUUAAAUAUAAUAAUUUGUAAUUUAUAUUUAUACAUCUAAAAUUAUUAAAUUAUAGAUUAUAACAGUAUUCUAUUAAAAUAUCUAUAAAUUGUGGUUAAAUUUUUAAAGUUUAUUUAAAUUUAGUUAUAAAUAAAAUACAAUAAUAUAUAACCCUUAUAUAAUUCUGGUCCUCGUGGCCUGACGGCCCGAGGCAUGCCGAGAACAUGGAUAAAAAGGAUGUCACUUGGGCUGUCAAGCAGCGAGAAUUGAAUCGCGGCUGUUAUGUGGCCUAAGACCAUGUGAUCGGCAUAAUAUUUUUUUUACAAAAAGUAUUAUUUAAUAGAAUAAUAAUUUUUUACUUAAUAUUUUUAUUUUAUAAAUUUCAUGACUAUUUAAGCGACUGGAUAAAGCAUGAUCCGCAUCCAAGGGUAUUAUAGUGAUUGGUUUUGGAACCACGUUAAUUUAAGACUAUUUGAUUCAUUUUUAUAUCCGUUUGAUUAUAGCAUUCAACCAACACAUACUGUAACUUAGGACCAUAAUAUACUAACUGAUAUUUUUAUCUAGGGAUUAAAAAUAAAAGCACCAACUUAGCAACAAGCUAUAAUAAUGGAUAAGCAUUCGACUGAUUCGACCAUUUAUAUUAAUCUUUUUUAUACUUUAUUUCUCAUUAAUAAUUAGCUUAUAGUACCUAUGUAUUACACAACCAAUUAUGUGGCAGGUCAAAUUACACAAACCACUUAUUUCACCUAGAAUAAGGGCAUACACAUUGCGAUCAUAGAGACACAUUUCGAUCCAUUUUGAUAAUAUAAUUAUAGCAACAGUAGAAUGCUCAAUAACUGUAGAUUUUUAAAUAGCUUAUCAUAGAACAUACCAAACAUAUACAGAAAACACAUCUAAGAAAGCAGCUGAAAAUAGGAUGCUACUUGCAUCCUUAUUUGCUGGUUUUAUAACUAACAUAUACUGUAAUAGAAAUGCAAUGAAUGCGUUGGCUAAUCAUCACAUGGAUGCCCAUGACCUAAUCACUGAGGUUCGACUUUCAGAACAGGUAGGUGCCUGGUGACGAAUUGCAUUUAAUGGACUUCGACUUGCCCAGAUUGUAAGUGGGAUAGAGAGAUCCAUGGCUAUUACAUAAUCCAAAUGACGAAUGACCAUCUUGCAAGGCGGAUUAUCCGUCACCCAUCUGCACCAUAGUUCCUUAUACGAAAAUUUUUCCAGGCUGUAUCUUCUGCCAGUAACCUAUAAAUGGGAUGCAUGAUUGAGUCUAGUCACAAGUCGUAUAAACACCACCGUCACUUGUAAUUUGAAAGUUUUGCAAUUGGCAUCAGAACAGGGUCGAAGAGUAAUUGGUUUGAUUGAAUCACAGCGUAACAUCAUGCUGGCUUUCGUUGUUGCUGCUUCUCCGCACAUGUGAUAAACUAAGUAAUAUAGGCUGAAUUGCAGGCUUGUCUGUCAGGGGCCUUAUGAAGUUUGAUAAGGUGAGUAUAGCUGCGAUGCAGCCUUGGUUAGAAUAUUAUAAUCGAAGGCCUCGAACUCCCAUCCGCUUUGCACGCGUUAGCUACAGACAAUGAAGUAGUUGCUGCUCCGAUAAAUAAUAUAAUUCCCAGCUUUGAUCUUGUAGAUGAUCUACCGUCGCAAUUGCACGAAUGACCCCAGCAGACUGUGCGAACAAAGUAUAAAUUCGUGUUAGCUAACGUUAGUGUAAAGCAAAAGUAUAAAAAAAAUAUAUAUUAGUAGGUUGCAUGAUAACAAAAGAAGAAAAAUUUCAGAACUAAAUUGAUACUAUAGAGGUUAUUAUGCAAAGUACUAGGCUGCUUUUUAACUUGUUUUCGAAUACUAUGUCAUAGCAUGGAUGUCGCCGUUCUUUUGAACUAAAAUAAGUUAAUUUUGGCUAUACUAUUAAUAAUAUUAAUUAUCUGUAUAUAAAUUAGUUAAUAAUAGAAAUUAAAUAAUAUUGAGAAUCGCUAACAAUCCAAUGUAAUUAAAUCAAGUCGCAGUUAUAAUAUAUUAUUAAGUUUUAAGUGUGUUGGAAUAUUUCUUUUUAUAACCAACGAGUAUUUAUGUAAUAUAUAUCUAUACUUUACCAUCCACAUUCCGAUAGAAGUAGGAAUUUUUAUUAAUUAAUAGUCAAUAUUUCGAUAAUUUGCGUUGUAUGCAAUACUGAAUAACAAUGUCCUAAUGGAUGUUUAAGACACUUUUGAUGCCCAAAUAAUGGACUUUGUUGGUUUAUAGUGGGUGAAAUUUGGGUUCGCUGUGCUAAAAAUCGCAGAAGGCAUAUUUGGUGAGAUUUGAAUCUAAAAACAUGUUUAAAGUUAAACUAAGAUAGGUAUGUGUUCUAAGCUGAGAAAUAUUCUUUUGACAAUUUUAUUAUAGUCACAGUAAUCCUUACCACACGCGCAUUGUUUCUUGAAUCUUGUUAGCACCAAGUGGUUCCUCAAUAAAUACUUUGAGGGCACGCAGAUGUCUAUGUAUCAAAGGACACCCACUGCUCUACCCCUCCGAAUUUAGUCGGGCAUGAAUACACACAAAGUAUAAUUGACAGUGCCAAAUCGUUUGUUCGUCGGUAACGAUUGAUCUGGUUCGCGGGUGGAACCGAGCCGAGAAAGUAGUAUGAAUUGUUCGUUUGCAUCUGUUAAAAGGAUUUUCGAUAUGGUUUCCGUUUGUUACAUUAGAAAAUUCUCGAAACGGGUAGCAUUCUUUAUGUUAGUUCUGUUUGAUUAAACUCGCAGGGCUGUUCUGAACUCGCGUACUCGCCACCACAUUUAUUCAAACCUUUCAUCAUGGGUUCCUGGGUUCCGUACAACGAGAAUACCGAUGGCGAAGGACUAUACACAGGAAACAAGAAAAGAAACACAGAUUGAACUUGGAACCAUGCUUAUGUCACUAAAUAUUACUAUAGUAUGAAAUUAGAGAUGAGCUAAAAGAGCUUUUCUAAAGCUAGAAGUAUGUCCUCAAAUGAGCUAUACAUAUAGAAGUUCAAUGCCUUGAAUAGUAGUGUGAAUAUUUAAUAGGUGGGAUUAAUAGUGAAUCCGAAUUAAUUACAUCUUACUAUAUAUUUACUCCGCAUCAAUUCUUUAUAAAUGAUUUAACUCGCACACAAUUAAUCUACUAAGCUGCUUCAGAUACCCUUAGUAAAAUUUUCGUGUAUAAAUCGCGUAUUAUAUGCAAAUUUUUAGAAAAGCGAAUUAAACGUGCAUGUCGCAUUUUUCCAGAAAAAUGUAAAAAAAACGCAUUUUGUUUUAUAAAAAAAUAUGUAUUCAACGCGACCAUAUCGUGAUUCGAGAAUGAUUAGCCAAAAUAACGGGUCGCGCGCGGUCGGUUCGCGGCCGUCGUAUGUCGUCGUCUCUGCUCACGCUUGCUCGCGAAUUUUGAAUCACUGUAAAUCCCUGCUGGAAAAAAAUCCGCCUGAAAGAUUCUUUUCCCAAACACGGUUUCGUAAAUUUCUUUUGAAAAAAUUAAUUUUAUAAUUUUUUUGAAAAAUUGAGUUUGGGAGUCUCAGAAGCUCAGAGAAAUGCGGUUUGGGAAUUGGAGAAAUCGCGGCGUUCGCGAAGAUGUUGCGACAGUUCACGAGGCAAUUUGGCCUCGGUGGACGUAUGAGAGGGCAGAUCCCGGUGACGUCCCUCAUUAGUCAUCUUCGUUCAUUAUAUAUUAUAUAAUUUAUAUUUAUAUACAAAUUUAUUUAUAAAUAUAUAUAAUAUUUUUAAUGAUUUUUUAAUUUUUAUGUAAAAAUUUUAUUUUAGGUUUUUUUUAUAGUGCAUAAACUAGUUGUUAAUCUCUUUAAUUUAUUUAAUUUUAUAGUCUUCUAUUUUAUAUUUCUUAAGAAAUAUGAGUAUUUAUACUAAUAUAAAGUCAUUGAGAGAAAAAAAUUUAUUAAUAGCCAGAAGUUUAUCCCCCAUUUAAUUGGUUGCACGUAUAGAUAUCCAUAUAAAUCAACAUACCGAAUAAUAACCGGAUCUGUUUUUAUAGCCGGUAUUUUCACGAUUUAAAAAUUAAAGACGAAUUUAUAGAAUUUAUAUCCGUACCGAAUUUUUCCGAAUCGAAUAACUAACUAUGUUAAUACCAAAUAGGUCUAAAUUAAUUACAAACAAUCAAAUUGAAAGACCAAGUUCAAGUUGGAUCACCUGAAAAUUAAUUUUACGCACGAGUAAAAUUCACUUUACCCGCACAGCCCACCCUGUAUAUUUAUGGAGUUUUAUAUAUUGUUCUUAUGUAAGAGUUUAAAGGUUGCAUUAACUAUAUAUGUUAAUUUUUUUGUUUUUAUUUUAUCGAUAAGAACUGACAUUAGUUAGCAAAUGAAUUUUUUGUUCCUUUUUAACAAUAAGUCUUUAAAAAAAUAAUAUAAUAUUAUAAGAAUAUUUAUUAUAACUUUUCAAACCGCAUAAUCAAAAGCUGAAAAAUAUUAAAACUAGAAGAAAAUAAAAUUACCUAAUUAAAGUUCAUCAUUACUUACUUCGUCACGAUUUAUUGUUUCCUUCAAAGAUUCUAACAAUCAUUUUCUCUCAAAAUAUCUAGGCAAGUUAAACAUUAUUAAACCAAAUAGUCAAAUCACGGAUUAUAAUUUUUUAUAAUGCAUAAUCUUUAUAUAUAACUUUAGUAAAAUUAUAUAAUCUUAAUUAAAUUUAUUAAAUUUUAAAAUUUUUAUGAAAAAGAUACUUAGUUAUCUGUGUUGUUCAUAUUUGAGAAUUAUUUUUCACCAAUUUUUUUAACUUAGCGAAGUGUACAAAUUUGUAUUGAUUACGAGAAUGCCAAAUUCGAGCUAAAUUUUUUUUUAAAUGAAAAUAAACGAAUCAUUACCCAUCUGCUAUAAACAUAGAAGAAUUUCUUUUGACAAAAUCUACUAGAUGUAGACAUGUUGUUUACGUGUGCAAACGUUAGUUUUUGUCUCUUAUCAAUUCUUAUAAAAGUCCAAUGGAGGGGCAACUUUAGCCGUUUGGUUGUGAUGUAGUUAUAAAAUGGUGUAUGUUUUGAAGUAUACACCAAUUGUAACAUUUCCAUUUUAAUAACUACAUUUAGUAUGUAUUGAUUUAAUAACAGUUAGCACUGCUAGUUAUAUUUUCUUCAGUUUGAUAGUAUGGGCAGUUGAGAUUUAAAUUUAUAAAUUCUAAUCAAAUUUUAGAUAGUAAAUGUGAGAUUAUUCUUUGAGUGAUAUACGUAAAUCACUAUUUAAAUAUUAAUUAAAACUUUUAUAUUAAUAAUAAUUAUAAUUAUAAAUUUGUAUAUUGAAUUUAACUCAUAUUAACUGUAAAUAAUAUUAAUAACAUUUGUUCGAAAUAAAAAUUAAGAUAUUAUAUAACUAAAAACUAAAAAAUAGAACGUAUGAAAAAAAAUUUAUAUUGAACCUAACAAAAUAUUAAAAAUCCUAAUCAGAUUAUCAUGAAAUAUGUUUUUUGAAAAAAAAAAUAAAAAAAGAAGUAUAUGAAAAAAAUCAAUUUUGUUUAUUUUUAAAUAGGUGAGUUGACUGCUGGCUCAAAACCGCUGUAGUUGUACUACGCAUUGGCCGUAUUGUAAUGCUUAAUAAAGUUGUUGGGCUUCUCAUAGCAGAAUCAAUGCAGUAGUAUGGUUCUAAACUACACAUAAACAAACAAAAAAUUAAUAGAUGAAUGUAUUUUCAACAUGAAUGCAAUUGAAUAAUAUCAUGCCAAACAGCAAUCAGCUAAUUUAUUUUUAAAUGCAUAAACGAAAGCGAUACCCAUCUUAAAAAAAAGAAAAUUGUUUUGCAAAACCGUGCGAGAUGUGGACCAUUGCCCACGAGAAUAGACUGAUAAAGACUUGCAUAAUGAAAAAAAGCUUUAUAUUUAAAUUUGAAACGUGAUAUUGUCACAGAAAUUUUUAUUAUAAAAAAAUUAGCACACUUCUCACUUCAUUUAUUAAGGAAUUAAAUUAGACUACAAUGAUGAAAAUCGAGCGAGAGAGAUGAGGGAAAAAAAUUUAAUGUCAGAAUACUUAUUUUGCUUAUGCAAGAUUUUUUAAAAAAAGUUAUGAUAGCUUAUGUAUUAUUAAAAAUAUGCCAAUGCAUCAUAAUUGGCAUUAAAUAAUAUACAUUCAAUGGUCUUUUAAAAUGGUCAUAAAUAUUAAUAGUAAAUACCCGUGAUUAGUCAUAUCAAAAAUUGUCAUUAAUUGUUAUAAAAUAUUAUUGUUUAAGCAUUACUCGCUAGUAUUCCACGUCCAUACAUAACCCGCCUCCCAUCCUCACACCCCCAACUAACUAGCGCAUGAGACGAGCAGAUGCGCCCCUCCCCGCCUCCAUCCCCCAUUCCCAGCCCCCCACCUGAUCCCCAAUCGUUCCCCCCCCCGAACCCUACUCCCCCCACCCCCCUCAUGUAUAAGAAAGAGGGGGAGGAUUAUAGGAGAGGGAGUUUGAUUGGCAAUUACAAAAUACACCAUUAAUUUGGACGGAGUUAUAAAGCCGCAUUGAUUAGUAUGGGGGCCCGGAUUAUGUAGGCCUAGGAGGGAGUGAACUGGAUUAUAAAGUCAUCAUUAGUAGAAUAUAAUGUAUAAUUAAUUAUUCCAUAAUUAAUUAUUAAUUAAUUUAUCUCGAGUGAGUGCUAGGAAAAUCACAUUGCAGAAAAACAGAAAAAGAUAAUGAGGAAGGUAGCUGCAUUUUGGAUAAAAAUCGAGGUUUAAUAAAUUAUAGAAGAUUAUGAGAUUUAUAGAUAAUAUGACAAUAAUUAUGUUGUUCUUCCAAAACUGAAAAAUGAUACGAAGCAUGAGGAACUAAGUUUAAAUCUUAUAAUACUAAUUAUUUAAUCUUUCAUCUAACUUAGUUAAUCAAGUCAUAUUUUAAGUCUAGUUAAAACAUCUCACUAAUACAAGGAAUGAGUGUUGAUUUAAAUAUAAAAUAUUGCUUUUUAUAACUUAAGUUUUAGAGAUAAAUAAAAAUAAUAAAAAGUAUACCGAACCAAUAAAUCUAUUGAGUUGCCCACUUAAUUAACAUUAACUAAUCUAUAUUCUUAAUCUUAAUCAUAAUCAAGCGUAUUUCUAUUUUUUAUCGAUUUUUAUGUUUUUUUUUGCCAAUAUAUAGGAGGCGAUUAAUACUAAUUACAUUAGAAAAUAAAGAACGUUAACAUUAUUAUAUAUUUAAUAGCAACUUUUCAUCAAUAGAAUGCUGCAGUUACCAAAUGGUGUCCUAAAUCUAGAUAGACAAUCCAAAAUAUGAAAGCCCGAGUAGAAGUUGCAACUAAAUUUAAUUUUAAAUGCGUAACUUCAAUUUACUACUCCAAAUAGAUUUAGUAAUUUUUAUUUUGUGUUUCUGUACUCAAAAGUUGCCUUAUUAUAUAUAUUUUAUUAUUUUACAAUAAAAUUAAUAAGUUAGGAAAGUAAACUUUAUUUAUAAAAAAAAAAUCAUUAAAGUAUAUCCUGUUAACAUAAGGGUAUGUUUGGUUUACUUUUGAUCCGAAUGGGAAUCGGUUGAUAAAUCCAUGCGAAAUUGUAUUGUUUAUUAGGAAUCGGUUUGGGACUUCUCAUUCUGAGAUCGGAAUAUGGAAUGGUCCAUUAUCUUACAAAUAAGCAAGCAAUUUAACCCGUGCAAUGCACGAGUUAUAACUUAAUAUUGAGAAUUGUGAUUUAAAGAAAGUUAAUGGUGCAUGAUAGAGUUUUUAUCUUGAUAUUUUAAGUAUAUCUUAUAUUUCAUGAAAUCUGAUGUUACAUUUUGAGCAAGAAAUCUUCAAAUAGCAAGUUUUUAAGAAAGAAUAUAAAUCCUUUAGAGCUUAAUGUUCAUAAGAAAAAGUUUUAAGAGUGAAUCCAUAAUGAUUAAAGUAAAGGAAAAACAAAGUGAAUGUAAUAUUUAGACGUGUUAAGAUAUUUAGAUGAUAUAUGGGCAGGAAUGAAAUGCCAACGUCCUCUUAAACAAUAUCGAUUGUAAUAUAAUCACUAUAGUGAAAAGAAAUUUAGAAGCUUGACUUCUCACUCUAGUUUUAGGGUUUUUUUUGUUAUUUUUAUUUUUUUUAUAUUUUUUUAUAGACUAUUUUACAAUUGAAAUUUCUUAUCGAAUCCUGCUUUAAGCGUAAUUAGAUAUGAAAACAGUCAAUUUUCUAAAAAGUUCUGAUGGGAAUGUUUAAUUUGAAAAGCUUUUAACAUAAAAGUAUAAGUUAAAAUCAUAAAAAUAUCAAUAUUGAAAUGGUCUAAUGUAGGUUUUUGAAAGGUAAGUUCAUAAUAUGAAAAAGUUAAAGUUCAAAUACAUUAAAAUUUAAACAUCUUAAUUUUGUUUUUUUUAAAUAUUCAAUUUGAAAUGUGAAUGAAAUUAAACUAUCAUCAAUCCUUUACGACUAAUUCUGUAAAGUUAUAUUUUGAUAGAGAUUGCCGUGACCUACAUUUAGAAAGUAGUUUUUAGAACAUCUUGUUCGUAACACCGACUUCCAAGGGGUCCCAUCUAGACUACUCCGUCCUAGCAUGCUUAACUUUAUUAUCUCUUGGCUGCCACAUCCAAAUGCUUAGCCGGGUUAAGAGUUAUACCUAUAAUAUAUCAUAUAUUGGACUAUCAGGGUCUCACAAUUCCCUCCUUUUUAGCCUGACGUCUCGAGCAGGCUAGACUCACAGUCGGUGAUGGGGGGGGGUCGGGUGAAGCGAUUGAGACUCAUACUCGCUACCGUAUCCAGACCUCACCUCAGCCGAGCUCAUUCAACUUCCGGCUGUAAUUGCUCUGAUACAAAUGUAACACCGACUGUCCAGGGGUCACACAUCCUAGGGACUAAUCCGGUCCUAGCACGCUUAAAUCUCUUAACAUCUUGACCUUGGCACCAGCCAAAUGCUUACGGUUAAGAGUUUAGCUCCUAUUAUAUAUAUAUAUUGACUAUCAGGGGUCUCACAUUUGUAGCAUAAUUCAUAUUAUGAUUCUUUAAACUGAAAUUGCUUGUUAUUAUGAAUAUUAAUGGAUGUAUGAUCUAUCAAUUAUUUCUGGCAAAUAAACUUGACUAACAGUGAGAAUAGUGCCAUGAACUUGUAAUAAAUAUUGAAUUAUAAUAUUUAAAGUAAAGAUUUGUAACCGUUUAGUAUCAAAAACAGCGAAGUUGAAUAUGCCUCAUGCGAAGAAACGAAAAAAAAAUGUUAACGAAUUGGCAUAAGAAGCAAAAAAAACAAGAAAGCCCAAACAUAGAUUGAUGCCGAGUGGGAGGGGGUGGGGGAGAUGUGUACGAAAUCAUUUGUAAAUUGUGCGAAGAUAGAGAGGAAUUACAUCCAUAUUGUAAAAAAAAACCUAGAAAACCAAUGAAAUCAGAGUAAUUAAUUGUGGAAGUUGAAUAAGCUCAAGAAUUAAUAUUUUUAUUAAUUUGUAUUACCUUUAAUAGAGCAAAAUUAGAGAAUUACUGGAAUGUGAUAGAGAGGCGGAGGUGGAAACGUUUGCAAGGCGGUGGAGAGGCGCCAUCAUCGGCGAUAUUAGGACGGAAGCUAGUAAUUAGGGGGGAAAGAAUCCUUGUAGUUGGGAAAAAAAAAAGCUUUAAUAUCCAUAGAAUAAAUAUAAGAAAAUGUGAAAUAAAAAUAUCUGGAACAUAUUUUAAUACUAAUUUUGGUUUUUAAAAAGUAGAAUGUGAAUUAAAAAUGACUUAAAAAAUUAUGGAGACGCAUAUUUAACAAUUAUAUUUUAUACUUAUUUUAUUUUAAAAAAUAAUAAUUAGCUAUUAUAUAUACAGAAAAAAUAUAAAAAGAAUAUCAAGUUUCAAUAUCAAAAUAUGUUGGUAUUAUGGUUAUGAUUUCUUCUAAUUACUUAAGAUAUUAUAUAUAAUAUUUGUAAAAUAUAUAUAUAUUGGUGAUAAUUUGUAUUUUAUUAUAAAACUGCGCCACGUGGCAUAUAUGGAAUUCCUAUGUAAUUGGGCACUGGCAGCAUAAUGGUUCACUGAAAUGCUUCCAAAUUAUAUUAAUAUAUAUAUAGAUAUUAUAUAUAUAUAUAUAUAUUACUAUAUUAUAUAAAUUAUAAGUAUAGGAUGUGGAGGGCUACUAUGCUAUCGUGAAGCACGGAGCUUCCUAGCUUCAGCUCGUUUUUCGAUUGUUCGCGACUUUCGAAUCGUCGAUUCGGCCCGCUCCGUUAAACUUGAUCUAAGAGUAUUUGAAGUAUAUAGAAAAGUAAAUUUUAUGAUUUUACGAUAUCAUUUGUUAGUAACGAAGGGUUGAAAAUCAAUGCUGAAAAUAAAUAAUAAUUUACAAAAUGUAAUAAUUUGACGUAUUAAAAAUUUAAAUCAAAGAUUCUGAUCUAUUUAUAUAGUAAUAAAGAAUUUUCUAUCAAAAUUUCACGUGGUUUGAUAUAUUCUACAGAACGCGUUAAUCUUGCAAACGCUCACUACGGCCAUUAAAUUGUUGAUUUUGAGCCUACUCGAUUCACUAGGCAAAUAUAUCUAAAACAAUAAAAUUUAUUAUUCUAGUAAUCCAAUAACCUAGAUUCAAAGGUUUAUAUGGAUGCCAGAUCGACGAUUAGAUAAAAGUGGAAAUCGAAACAAGGUGACAUCACGAAGGCUCGUGUAUCCGAUAUGCCUAGUAGCCUACACUCUAAUAGUAAUUAGUAGUAUAUAUAUGAUAGGUAAUAUGUAUACUCGAGUCAUGAUUCGGUCUCAGGCCAGGACCCGGAUUGAGUUUCAAUUUCCAAGGCCAUACUCAGCUCUUCCUCAAGCAGUACGCCCAACUUUGCUCAUCUACUCAUUCUUAUUCUCCAUAUACACAUCUUUUCCUCUUUGUCAUCAUUUAUAAAACUACAUGAUAUAUUUAAUUUUGUUAUUAAUUAUUCAAAAAAAUAUGCUUUUUUGUAAUUUUUUGCAUAUAAUUUUUAAAAUAAAUUCCUUUUUUUUUUUGCAUAGCUCUAAUUUGAGAAUAGUAUUAAUUUUUUUUUAUAAAUUUUAGAUAGUUUUUAGUAAAAUUUAUAUUAAAAGUAAUUAAAUUAUUUAUUCUAAUUAUUUUUUACUUUGAUGAAUCAUAGUAAAAUAGGCAGUAAAUUGGCAUACCUUCAAUAUUUCAAUUCAAAAUGAACCCCCCCACCGCAAUGUCGACCAAACGUCUGGAAAAAUAGGCAAUUAAUUGCCAUUUAAAUUCAUUUCUACAUAUUUCAGUUAUUCUAUUAAUUCCAAUCUUGACGGGUGGAAACAAUCUUAAAAUUUAUAUAAUAAAUAAAAUUAAAUAUUAUGAGAAUAGUUAAGUAUGUAUAACUUUUCAAACCACGUAAAAAGUGAAUUAAAAAAUAUUAAACAACAGUAAAAAAAUUAAAAUUACUCGAUCCCAAUUCAUUCAUUUUCUUCAUCCAAAGAUUCUACAAUCUCAUUCUCUCAACGACAUUCGAGUGCAAAUUAAACAUAUAUAUGGUACACCAAAAGUCAAAUCAUGCAUUAUAAUUUUUUAAUGUAUAGUUUUUUUAAACUUUAUAAAAUUAUAUCAAACAAAUUAAAUUUUAAUUUAGAGGAAAAUAUAAUUAGUUACACAUUUUAUUCAUUUUGAGAUCUUUUUUUAUCCCCAAGUAAAACCUAGUAAGAGAUGUAGUGCCAAUAUACAUAUACUGAUCCUUGAAAACGUUUAGAAUGUAUCCGUUAUCUUGAUAAAGUGGCAUCUCCAGUCAAUCAAAGAAUUUUUUUAAAAAUUUAUUCGUUCCAUAAUAAUUAUAAAAAGUAUAAUUUUAUUAUAUAUUUAAAAAUAAUUAUUAUUAAUUUAUUAUUAAUAAUAUGAUAUUAUUAUUAAUAAUGUAAUGUAAGUACGAUUAGGGCUGGCAAACAAGCAAGCCGGCUCGCGUUCGACUCGUGUUCGGCUCGAUAUUCGGCUCGCUCGAGCUCNAAGAUACUUCAAAUGGUAUAUAUAUCAUUUUCAACAAUAUCGAUCGCCGAUUUGGAGGCUCCAUCAUCGACGCUAACCCGAUUCCAAUUCAUUCAUUUCCUUGAUCCAAAAGAUUCUACAAUCUCAUUCUCUCAACGAUAUCUGAGUGCAAAUUAAACAUAUGGUACACCAAAAGUCAAAUCAUGCAUUAUAAUUUUUUAGUGUAUAAAUUUUUUAAACUUUAUAAAAUUAUAUCAAACAAAUUAAAAUUUAAUUUUAAAAGUUUUUAGAGGAAAAUAUAAUUAGUUACACAUUUUGUUCAUUUUGAGAUCUUUUUUUAUCCCCGAGUAAAACCUAGUAAGAGAUGUAGUACCAACAUGCCUAUGCUGAUCCUUGAAAAUUUUUAGAAUGUAUCCGUUAUCUUGAUAAAGUGGCACCUCCAAUCAAUCAAAGAAUUUUUUUAAAAUUUAUUUGUUCCAUAAUAAUUAUAAAAGAUAUAAUUUUAUUAUAUAUUUAAAAAUAAAUAUAAUUAGUUUAUUAUUGAUAAUAUGAUGUUAUUAUUAUUAUAUUUUUUUGAGAGAAAGAUAGUAUACUAUUAUUUUAUUUUUAUAUCAUUUAAAAAUAAACUAAACUGAAAAUGUAAAUUAAUAAAUAAUAAUAUUAUUAAUGAUGUGAUGUAAGUAUGAUACAGUAAAUUUUUUUUCCGCCAGGCCAUCUAUAAUUCCUUUAAGGACAAAUAACUGCAUGCAGUUCAUUCUUUCUAUAUUAUUAGGAAGCAUUUUGCUCGUCCUUUGUUUGGACAGAUGCAAUCAUGAAUGAGGGGGCCCCGACAAACCUUCACUCCGUACACAAGGGUUAUUGCAGCUGAUGUGUUGUUUAUUGGAAUCUCAUAAAUUAUUAAUACCGUCCAGGCUCUCUUGAGCGAUUAGUCUCUAUCCAAAAUAAUCGUGAUAGUUACAAAAUACUUAUUGUAGCAUUGCCUAUUAUAUGUCAUUUGUGUCGCUUAAAUAUUCUAUAGCUGAUAUUCGAAAUUUUUUGAAAAUGCCCUCUAGAUAUUUUAUCAAUAAUUUUCAUCAUCACGCAUACAUCACAUAAAUAAUUUAAAAUUUAAAAUUUAAAAUUAAAAUUCAAAAUUUUAAUUUUAAUUUAAAAUUUGAUACAGAUCUGAAUUUAAAUUUUAAAUUUGAGUUCAAAUUUUGAACUUAAAAUUGCAAGUCAAUUUUAAAUCUAAAUUAAAUUUGAAAUUCAAAUUCAAAUUUAUAUUUUGAAUUUGAGUUUCAAAAUAAAACUUUGAAAUUAAAUAUAAAACUAAUUAAAAAUCUAGAUUUGAAAGUAAAAUUAGCAUAAAAUCUUAAUUUGAAUUCAAGUGAAUUUGAGUCCUCUUCGAAUCCAAAAUCAAAAUUUUAAAUUUUAAAUUUAUAAUUAAAAUUAGAUUAAAUUAAUAUUAAAAUUCAAAAUUAUAAUGUAAAUUUGAGCGAGUCUAUGAUCGGAGUUUAAAUUGAAAAUUGAAUUAAAAAAAUCUAAUUUAAAUUUUGGAAAUAUUUCGAGAUAAAGUUGAUAUUUUAAAAUUGUAGUAGCAGCUUGGAACUAAGAUUAGGAUAACACCCCGUGACGUGAGAUAAAAUAAGAAAUAUUUAUGAUAUAACUCAUUCUAUUGGAAGAGCAUAUAUGAUAUUUUAAUAUUUUUACAAGUAUCUGCNNNNNNNNNNNNNNNNNNNNNNNNNGUGUUUUUCUUUUCGGUUUUUUUGAAAGCAAAUUGUUCGAAUACUAAGGAGCCGUUUUUUCUCGGUUUUCCGCUUGGUUCACAUGGAUAAUAAUAUGGCUAUAUCCGGCCGAAUUACUAAACACAGUGUCCACCACGGGGUACUGUAAGAUAGAAUCAAACUCGAGUAAAGGUUAUAAAAAAAACAUCCUCAAAUUCUCUUCACUUAUUCCAUAUUAUUGGCACAAAAAUAAAUUUUACUUGCACCAACAUUGUCACUCGCCUCGAGACCUCGCCACAUUGUCACUAACAACAAUUAAUUUCUGACACGCGAAUUUUCUCGCCUAAAAUCAAUCUCAUUUCUUACACAAAAUCUAAAUUUCUGUUUCCAUUCUUCUAAUCCAAUACAAAAUAGUAUUUUACCUAUUUUAUUUACAUCUUAUUUUAUCUUAUCCGGUAUAUUAGCCACUGUAACAUCUUGUGCAAUCAUAAAGUGGUGACAGGUACAAGGAAUGCUAUUCUAACUUGCCACGAAGUGAUUCAAAGUCAUACCUUAUUAUCGUUAUCAGCCCGAGAGACGACUGUCUCGCUGAGAUCAGUAGGAAGAAAUAAGGGAUUUGGUGCUAACGUAGGUAACUCCGAUGAUCCAAAUUCGAACUCUAUUUGAUUCAUACAUUUUAGCUAAUUAUAUUAUAAAUGAAAUAAACAAAGCGAAGGGGUAUUAUGGACUCAAGCCCCUUUGUAGAUACCUCUCAAGAAAAAUAAGGAGCAAACUCAUCAUUCAAAUUAUUCAAAUUAUAUCGCGAUCGAUAUAUACUCAGGUUUUUUCCUUGAAUGCUGAUUUCAAUUGAGAGAGAGAGAAAGCAUCCGUUCUAAAAUUGGAGGGAGGCUGACGAAAAGAUCUGUGCCAAACAUUUCUGGCAACGAGGGUUGGUGAGGGAGGCCUAAAGGUGCCAGAGAGUUUAUGACCGGAGGCUUCAUUAGCUACUCAACUCAAAAUCCUUACUACUAUCGAAAAAAUACUCCUACAAAAUAAUAAAUUAAGCUUCAUGUUAUCGGUGUCGCAUGUCAAAAUAGCAUCCAUCCUAAUCGAUUUGUUUGUUUUUGUUUUGUGUGGUUCAGGUUCUACAUAAAAUUUGCAAAUACCCUAUAACAGGAAAUAUAAAAUACCAUGAUUAAAGCGGGGAACAUUAAUGAAUUGUCAGAAAACUUUGAGAUAUAGCCAAUAGAAAUCAUAGGCAAACAUUACCGAUAUACAAUUUAUCCCUAUAAUCACGUUUAUGCUCUACUAGGUUACUUGCCCAUAGAUUAAGCAUUCCUGAUUAGUAAGGCGUGUGAGCUCAUCACCAGAAUCCUAUAUCAACUUCUCCUAUUUUUUUUUCUCUUAUCUCUUUCUUGAAUCUAAUCGGUUUUUUUUAUUUUCAUAAUUACUUUGAACAACCGAACUGAUCAUGGGUUCGAGUGGUAGACUCCUCUGAAAACCCGCUCAUUAAGUAUUUUAGUCACACGCUAUACUCUUCUCACCUUUUCUUUACUACGUGAACGAUGUGCUAAUUUCUCUCGUUCUUACCUGAAACGAAUUAUAUCAACUCGUGUUCCAAUCUGGGGUGCUAGAACCAGAGCCAACUGCUCCCACAUGUUUCCCAUCUUUGAACCAAUUUUUUCUUUUUUUUUAUUAUUUAUAUCGGAUCAAUCUCACUAUAGAGUGUGGUUUAUAUCCCAAUAUCCCGUCUCAAGCUUUUCUUGUUUUGUUGCUUGAAUCGAAUCGUAUUUUUUUUUUUUUUUGCAUUGAACGCAAACUGGAUCACAACUUCUGCAUUAAACAAACUAUAGUCUUUUCCUCUUCUUCAACUUUAUCUCGUUUAUCACAGCGGGAUAAAUCUCCUCAUCCGUCACUAGGUUCAUUGUCGUUUACUUCUUUGCGCCGUUUUUAGUUUAUUCCUCUUAAUUAUCUCUAUCACAUCCGCAACAGCUCAAAAUCGCACGGGUUACUAUACUACAUAUCACCGUAUGGUAAUAAAACUAAAUAUUUUAAUAACAAGUUAAUGAACGAGGCAUUUUUUCAAUCAAGAAACUAUAUCACUGGAGCUAUUACACUUAUAAUAUUUAUGACAUUUAAAAGAGCACGAAUAUAUUAUAUUUUACAAGGGGAGCUUGUGAUGUUAAGUACAUACGCGUGGCGUCUUAUAAGAUUUUUUGUCAAAAAAACUUUCAUAAUGCUUAAACACUAUCACUGAACAAUAGUAUUUUAAAUUAAGAUAAAACUUUUAAUCCUGGGCACGUCUCUUAUCAGCUCCUUAUAUUCCCGUGUGCAACAACUGCUCCAUACAUUUGAAUAACACACAUCACUUGUCAAUAAAGUCUGUCCCCCAUGCCUCAUGCGACUUUACCUCAAUGCUAUUGAUAAGAGACAAAAUAACGGUUUGCACACGUACACCAUUGGUCUACAUCUAAGUUUGAUUUUGCCGAAAAAAUACGCAUUGCACGACGUACAACAUUAAACACUUGGUUCAUACAUCUAGUGCGGUUUCUGGCCAAAUAAUAACCGUUUCCGACGACAGCACUACUAUUUGUGUCUUUAAACAUGGGUAGGUGUGAGAGAGAGGAGAAUUUCACUGUUUUUUUUUAAGACGAUGGGGUAGGUUAGGAUCUACUUCGAUUUGUUUAUUUAAUGAAAAAUAUAAUUUAGUUCGAAUUUAGAAUUUUCGAAUACGCGAACCACCAGUGCGUCUUUAUUAUUGCCCUAGUAAUAUCGUGCCAAAAAGAAAAUUCUCAAAAUGAACAAAACGAAUAACUAAUUAUCUUUUCCCCUAACACAAUUUGAAAACAUUAAUUAAAAUUAAUUAAAUUUGAUAAUAAUCUUAGUUAAGAUUUUAAAAAGAUUAUACAUUAAAAACAUUGUAUAAUCCGUGAUUGAUUAUUGGUUAAUACAUGUUUUAAUUUGCACUCAGAUAUCGUUAGAAAUGAAAUUGUAGAAUCUUGAAGGAACAAAUGCAUGAAUCGGGACUGAGUAGUAUAAGAAUUUAAUUAGGUAAUGUUUGUAUUUUUUUAGGGCUCGUUUAAUUAUUUUUUCCAGCAUUUGUUAUUAUGCGGUUUUGAAAAGUUAUACUUAACUAUCCUAUAAUAUUAGAUAUUUAUUUUCUUGUAAAGAGACUUAUGAGUGUUAAACAGAACAAAAAAUUCAUCAUGCUAAAAACUGAUGUCAAAAGUCUAUUUUUGAUAAAAAUAAAAUAAAAAUCGACAUAGAAUGUUAAAUGCAACCUUAAAACUACAUAACAACAAGUGAAACUCCACUAAAUUACAGGGUAGGGGUUGGGUAUCGAAUUUUCUCUAGUAAAUGACUUAGUGCAAACUUAAGAACUUAGGCUUCCUUAGUUGAUUGCUUUAACUAAGGACCUAUUUGGCGUACUUGUAAGUCAUCUAUGAGUUGAAACGCUGGUUGGGAGUUAAAGUCAUAUAAAGAUUACUGAUCAUUAAUUUCUAAAGUUGAACAGUACGGAAUGAAUAUACAAAGUUUAUUAUAAUGAAAAAAGUCUAAUUUAUGAAAAGAUGUAAACAUUAUUUAUUAUAAUAAAAUUUAAGUAAUUAAAGAUGAGUUUUAAUAUCUAUCUACUAACUACUAGAAAAAAUUACAUGUAAAUACACGUAUAAUAAUUAUUAAAAAAAGUAUAAAUUUUAUAAUAUAUAUUUCAUAAUUAUUAGCCCAUAAUUAUAUAUAUGAAUUGCCAGAUAUGUAAUAUAAAAAUUAAAAUAAUAAAUCAGCUAAUAUAAAAAAGAAUUGCUAUUAAAUGAACAAACUAAUUAACAAUAAAUCAUUAAUACAAACAAUACAUAUUAUAAAAUAUCUCUAAUUGGCAAAAAUUAUUAUAAAAUUAAAACUAAAAAUAAAAUCUGUUAGAAAUAAUUUACAUUAAAUGAAAUAAAAUCACGUUAUAUAAGAAAAUAAUAAUAUUGAAUUAAAUAGAAAAUAUCUAAAAAAGAUAUUUAAACUAAACAUAAAAAUAAUCUUUUAUAGAUAUUUUCAGCACACCGUAAUCUGUUAUAGACCGAUAACUUAACAUUGAAUUAAAUAUUAUAUUAUAAAGAUCUUCUAAGAUAUCGUAUAGACGCCUCAUGAUAUCAACACGCUGUAUACUUACAUCUAAUAAAAUAAUCAUUUAUUCUUAUAUAUAAAUUUUCGAAUCAGCAAAAAGAUAUUCUAAUUUAAAAUUUAAUCGGUAAGAAAAUAUCUUAUAUUAAUAAAAAUUCGUACGGCAAAGAGAAAAAUGGCGCUAAAUAUUAUUCAACAAGUGAAAAAAUUAGGAUCAGAUAGACAGCAGUCCAAAUAUUGAAUAUACCGUGCUUUUAUAUAUAGUAAUAAUAUAUAUAUAUAUCAUAUAUAUAUACGUUAUGGUUGGACGUGGCAAAAGCUACUAUUACGUAGCAAAAUCUCUAUAUGCUGGACCAGUUUGUUUAAGCUUUUGGGAUCAACUCUUUCAUUAUUCUCAAACAAUUGGAUUGAAAUACUAUAUAUCCAUUAGAGACGCCAACUCAACCCCAGGGGGACACUUCAACUAUAUUAUUGACUAAUAUCAUCCUACCUCACAAUUUUUCAUCGCAAGUUAAAAACUUGAUAGCAAAUAAGAGCGUUUUACUAUUAAUAGAUUUAGCUAAUUCAUAUAUAUCUGAGUGGGUGAAUUAUGCUACUAUACUGCAAUAAGUACCAGCCCUUGUAACGUAUGAGUUUUGGCCGUUGGAUGAAAGGAGUGCGGUUAGUUUGAUAGUGUCCUGAGGUCAGUGGUCGUGCGUGGGGCUUAAAUAGUAUACGUCUAACGGUGGAAAUAAUCAAAGAGUACAUCGUGCUAACGGUAAAAACUCAAAUAGACCAAAGGCUUGGUACUAUCCAUAUACAGUAGCCGGACAUCAUAUAGUAUAUGUAUAUAUAUAUAUUAACAUUAGAAUUCGGUAAUGCGUCUGGUACUCCGGCUUUUUUUCCUGUGGGAUUUUGAGAAUUCGCCACAAACCCGCUCGAUACCAGAUGUACCGUGGAUUCGAGCCGUGAUUGUUGGUCUCGAUUACACAACGAAAGCUCGAAUCGAGAAUUUUUUACUAUAAACUCGUAUUCCUACAAAAGCUGAUACUAAUUCACAAAAAAGAUAAAAAACCAAAGCAAGUGCGAAAGAUCGAGGUGGAAAGGCUGGCAGGGGUUUCAAGCCUCCGCUCUUUGCCCCUCCGCUGGCUUCUCGACGAGAGACAUAAAAAAAUAAACAGAGAGAAAAAAGAGGAGAAGAAAGAGGAGAAGAUAAAAAUAAAUAAAGUUUUAGAUCAGUUUGCUGGAAAAUUCAAGCCGAAGUCUACAAAAACACGAAAAAACAGUCACAUCUUUGCAAAAAACCCAAAAAAAUAGUGAAUUUUUAUGCAAAUUGCCUUAAUUUAAUAAUUCCAUCUUCACUUAUUUGACAGUUAAAUUUUACUUACCAACUACUUAUUUAUAGUCGAUUCUUGUGCAUAUAAAAAUAGGUAAGUCUAAGCCUAUCCUUUUUAAUGAUUAUUCAGAUAUAUUUUAUCAAAGGUGAAAUCUGGACAGCUAAAAAUUCGAUCCCUUCAGAUUUUUGGCGAAAUUGUGGGGGAUUUUCCCCUAAAAUAGGUAACUUUUUUUUGCUUAAAGUGCUUGUAAUUCUGUUACUUGCAUUAAGAACACUGUCUAAAAUUAGUAACUACAUAAACCUCUGUCAAGGGGAUCAUUUUCAAUUUUGAAAUGCGGGACAGUCUUCAUAACUAAUUCUCAAACAACUCUUAAACACCGCAAACUAUAUAUAUAUAUAUAUAUAUAUAUUAUUGUUUAGAAUAUUAGCUGCUUAUAUAGUUGUCCACAUUUCACACUUGGAUCUAUAAUGUGAUUUGAAUACUCAUAAAAGGUGAUUGAUAGCAUACAAAAUUAUCCACUUUUAACAUGCAAAAGACAUAUAUAGACUGUACGUAAAAUUUACUUUUGUCUCAAUAAAUGAAAGAUGAAAUGGUUAAUUUGAUUUGAAAUUUUGUUUUUCUCCUGUUCAACUCGUUACGUAACUUUAUUUUCUGUAGAUAUAUGAGAUUUGGGUAAAUUGCACUCCAUGUCUCUAAACUUAAAUUUAGUUUUUCUUCUUUUUUUUUUCUUUUUUUUUUUAUGGAUAGGUAGCAUGCUACCCGCUUCGUUUUAUUUUAUUUAGAAAUAAACUUAGCUGGAAAUGUGAAUCAAUUAGGAUUCGAACUUGGGUCUCAGAUACCAAUCACCAAGCCUUUUUCCACUUCUAGGGACGGUCGGUUAAAUUUAGUUUUUCCACUUCUAAGGACGGUCGGUUAAAUUUAGUUUUAAAACUUCUAAAUUUUGUAUAUUUUUAAGACCGGACUAUUGAUUAUUUGAAUUAUAUCAUUUUAGUCCUUAUUCUGCGUACUCUUUUUUUUUUGAGAGAUAGAUAACAUGCUACCCGCUUCGCUUAUUUCAUUUAGAAAUAAACUUAGCCGGAAAUGUGAAUCAACCAGGAUUAGAACUUGGGACCUCGAGUACCAACCAUCGAGCCCUUUGCCAUUUAUGCUAGGGACGAUCGGUAAAAGCUAGCGUACUCUAAUAACCUUCACAUUAUGUAUACUAUUUUAUUUUUAUCUAAAAAGAAACUAAACACAAGUACUCUAAUAAUAUAAUUUUGUAUUUUGUAUUUCAAUUAUAUGUACUUUCCAUAUAUAUUGACCCUCACGUUACCCCAUAAAUAUUCAAAACAAAUAAAUCUACUAAAAUAUUAUUUUUGAGAUAUUUUCGUAUCAUAAUUUUGCAUGUGCAGGUGCAUGACUUUUCAAAUUGUCUUGGAGCCAUCCCAAUUAUUUUGCAACCAACGUAUUCAAUCCGGGGACAACUCAAAUUUAAUUAUUGGAGCAAGAAAAUGUAAGGAAACCCCUAAACUAUAGGCGACUUUAAAUAGCUCCUUCAAUCUGGUUUAAUUCUCUCUCGUUUAGGAGUGUAAACGAGCUGAACACGAGCUGACUCGUUAAAAUAUCGUGCCGAAAAAUUUAGCUUGUGUUUGGCUCGCUAAUAAACGAGCCGAACACGAGCUGGCUUACAAACAAUAAGUUAAAAGUAUUAAAUUGAAUAUAUAUACAAAAUAAAUAUAUAAAAUUUUAUCCAUUAAACUUUAAGAUUAAUGGGUAUUUUUUCACAUCCUUUUACUCUAUAUCAAUUGAAGUAAGGACUCCUUGCUUUAAGUUCUAAAAUAUUCAAUAGUUUUAUAUAUAGGAACCUGGGGUUUCCCAAACUAAGAAUUACCUAUUCUAAUACUAUGCGAAAUAAUAUGACACAACGAUUGUUCUCCAAAAAUUUAAAGAUGGCUCAGAGGAUAAGGCACUAAUUAAGUUUGAAUCUUAUCGGGCAAUAGGUUCAUCCAAUUUCUUUUUAUUUUAUUUAAUUUAAUUCAAGGUCAUAUUUUAAAUUUAUUAAAACUUCUCGAGCCUAAACAAGAGGUAGAGUGUUAUAUAUAUAUAUAUAUAUAUAUAUAUAUAUAUAUAUAUAAUUCUGCUACUAUACUUUAUGAUAUAUUGUCCUCUGUACUCAUAAUUAUUUCGAUAGAUUCAGACUUCCGAAUCAACGAUCCACAUCAAUUAACUUUAUUAAACAUUUAAAAUUUCUAGAAAUCAAAUUUUUAAUUUUUCACAUCAUUUCACCUUCACUCAAAACUUACAAAAUUGACAAAUUUAACAGCCGGUAUGUAAUACAUUGCUAGUUUAACGGUGUAAAAGAAUUGGAAUAGAUUGAAUUUUUGAUAGAAAUUCUAUUCACUAUCUAAUGAAAGAUUAUAAACUCUAAUCUUAAAUUGAAGGAUCCGAUCAUCCAUUUUUAGAACACCUCGUUCGAUUUUGACCGUUCAUUUUCUGCCCGUUGAUGAUUCUUUAUUGAUUUGGAAAAAUUAAAAAUUUAUUUUUUAAAAUUUCAAAUACUCUAAGUCAUAUUUAAACGGAGUGGAUCGUCGAUUCGAAGCCUAAUCAUUAAAAAAACUUAUGAGUACGAAGAGGUCCAAUACUCAUAAGAGUAUAGUAGCCUUACUAUAUUAUAUAUAUAUUAUAUAUAUAUAUAUAUGUAAUAUAUAUAUAAUAUAGUUGCUUAUAAUUCCUAAUCUUUCUGAAAUAUCCGAUCUACCCCUACUUUUUUUUUCUUUCUAAAAUGCCCUCAUAUGUUCCACCGUUAUUCCAAAAUACCUCCGCAGUUAUCCCUGUUAUGUUUACUUGAGUUAAGCAUGGAUUAAUGUAUACCGCGAGUUAAAAACUAAUUAAAUACCCUAUUUUGCCCCUUACCAUUAUUAAACAAUUUAUUAAAUUAUCUUUUUUUUCUCCUCCAACUUCAUCCUUCUCUCUCUCUCUUCUCUGCUCUCCUCUAACUUGGUCCUGCCCCCGCCGCCCGCCACCGAGCACGCCCAGGCACUCACCACCACCACCAACGCUGCAACCAGCUCCUUCUCGCCUCCGACCUCGCCCCCUAAGACUCGCGUCAUUCGCACAAAAAAAACGGCCCUAGUCCGCCGCUCUCGAUGCGCCUUCCUCCUCCCCGCCGCUUUGCUGUGCCGCGGAGCAAGAGGGCCCCAGCGAUUUUGUGCAGCAAUCUCGUCGCGUUCGUCGUCCCUCCUUUCUGUCACAUUUCGAUCAUCGCUGUGUGUUCGCGGUCGACAUCGUCUCGCACCACGGUAGCAUCAUCGUGCCUUCCACCUCUCGACCCAUCGCUGUGGACGUCUUCUUCGUUCUGAAAACCCAUUCUUGUCUCUGCUUCCCUUCGGGAACAGCCGCUCCAUCACCAAUAUUGCCUCAUGGUCGCCAACCUCGAGGUUUGAGAGUGCGACGGUGUCCGAGGUUGAGGUGUGUCGCGCUGCCGGAGGAGGGGAACGAGGGAGAGGUGUUUAUGAGGAGUCAAUUGGAGAGUUAAUUGGCGAGAGUUAAAACUUAGGUGAUAGUUCAAUUGAGAGUUAAUAGGAUGAAUAGUUAAUUCAUCUGAGAUUAAUUGGAAUACAAGAUAGUCUUCUGUUCUGCAGCUACAAUCUAAGAUUUAAUUAAUUAUUUUUAAAUAUAUUAACUCUUUAUAUUAUUACAUAUAUAUUAUUAUAAUUUAAAUAUAUAAUAUUUACAUAUAUAUAUAAAAAAAAUUAAAAUAAAUACAUAUAUAGUAUAUUAUAUUAUAUAUAUUUAUUAUAAUUAAUCGAAUUUUUAUAUUCCCGAUUUUAAUUGGUGAAUCAUAAUACCCGCGUAAAAAUAAGCUUAUCUGAAUAAUUGCCGAAUCCGGAUUUUUUAGCCGUAUAUUUUCAACAAAUUUAAAAUAAAAAGAUACGAAAAUAUAUCCGAAUUUUAUCCGUACCGAAUUUUUGCCGAAUCCGAAUUAACUAACUAUGCCUCCAACCACCAAGGUUUGUUUAGCUGCGAUCGAUCUCAUUCGUUUAUCUGCUCGCUCCCGACGUGCUUAAUUAAUUAAUUAAAAUUUGAAGGGCAAAUAAGAAAAGUAUUCGCUAUAUAAAGGGUAUAUAAGAAAAGUUAGUUACGGUAGAAGGGUAUAUUAGAAUGGAUAAAAUGGUAAUUUUACAGAGAUAACGGCAGCUCACUAAUGGAACUUAACUCCAGGGAUAUAUUAGAAAAGCUUGGAACAUAAGAAGGGUAUUUUCAAUAUAUAUAUAUAUUGAAACACCUCUCUUUAAUAACUUAAGUUUCUAUAUAUAAAUAAUUGUUUCUCAUCCUUUCAUAGAUUUAACUUUUUUCAUAUUAUAAUAAAUCAAUUAUAAUAUUAUUCCUACGGUUCCAUUAGAAAAUAAUGAAGUAUAUCUUUAUAUGAUUUAACUCCAACCAAGUUUCAUCUACUAGCAUGCUUCAAUACCCAAAUAGGUGCUAAGUCACAAGACAAUCCAAAAUAAGGAAAGCCCAAGUUCUAAGUUGGCACUAUAGUUAAUUUACUGAGUAAAAUUCAGUGGAGUUUUACUUUGUUCUCAUGUAGUUUAAAGGUUGCAUUUAACUAUCAUGUGAUUUUUUAUUUUUAUUUUAUUGAUAGAACUUGACAUCAGUUAAAAAUUAAUUUUUUUGUUCUGUUUAACAAUAAGUCUUUACAAGAAAAUAAAAUUAAUAUUAUAGGAUAGUUAAGUAUAACUUUUCAAACCGCAUAAUAACAAAGUGAAAAAAUAUUAAACAACAGUAAAAAAAUUUAAAAAUUACCUAAUUAAAUUCAUCAUACUUACUCGAUCCCGAUUCAUUCGUUUCCCUUCAAAGAUUCUACAAUCUCAUUCUCUCAACAAUAUCUGAGUGCAAAUUAAACAUGUAUUAAACCAAAAAUCAAAUCAUGGAUUAUAAUUUUUUAAUGCAUAAAUCUUUUAAACUUUAUAAAAUUAUAUCAAAUUAAUUAAAUUUUAAUUAAUUUUCAAUUUUUUUAGGGGAAAAGAUACUUAAUUAGUUAUCCAUUUUGUUCAUUUUGAGAAUUUUUUUUGGCAUCGACUGUCACUAGCGCAAGUGGUAAGGAGUUUGGUGGUCGGUAUCCGAGAUUUGAAGUUCUGACUUAAGUUUAUUUCUAAAUGAAAUAAAUAAAACGGAUAGUAUAUAUGUUAUCUAUCUCUUUAAGAAAAAAAAAUUUUUUGGCAAAACCUAGGAGAUGUAGACCCAAUGUGUGCGUGUGCAAACGUUAUUUUUGGCAAAACCUACGAGAUGUAUACCCAAUGUGUACGUGUGCAAACGUUAUUUUAUCUCUUAUCAAUCGUUAGUAAAGUUGGCAAACAAACUAGGAGAUGUAGACCCAAUGUGUACGUGUGCAAACGUUAUUUUUGGCAAGAACUACGUGAUGUAGACCCAACCCAAUGUGUACGUAUUUUGUCUCUUAUCAAUGAUUAGUAAAGUCGCAAUCGAGAAGGGUACAACUUUUAUUGCAGCUGAUGUGUUGUUAUUGGAAUUAUGGGAGCAUGUGUUGCCCAACGGGAAUAGGACUGAUAAAGACGCGCAUGAAUUAAAAAAGUUAUAUUUAAAUUUAAAAAAUACUAUUGUUCAGAAUAGUUGUUUAGCAUCAUGAAAGAUUUUUUUAAAAAAAAUUUAUGAAUGCCACGCUUAUGUAUUAAAAUAUCACAAUGCCCUCAUAAAUUAAUAAUAUCAUUCAUGCUCUUUUAAAUGGUCAUAAAUAUUGUAGUAAAUAGCUCCAGUGAUUAGUCUCUAUUGAAAAAUCUCGUCAUUAAUUAUUAUAAAUAUUUAUUUUUUUACCAUUAUGUACUACUAGUAUAGUUACCCGCGCAAUGCGGCGGAUAGGUAUUAUCGAAAUAUUAGAUUUUUAAUUCAAUCUAACUCAUCUUAAAUAGAAAUUAUCAAAUAAUUAUAAAAAUUACUGUAAAAUAGAUUAAAAUUAGAUUAAAAAAAUAGAAAAUAAGAAGAGAGAAAAAAAUAAAAAAUAGAGAAACUCUCACUUAAUGUUGGUCUCUAAGAAGGCGAGGCUUGCCAAUAUUUAGUGGUUCAAUGAAUCUACAUUAAUUAGCAAUAAAAUCAAUACCAAGUGUGUUAUUUUGUUAAUUUGAUAUUUAGAUAGAGGGAGUGGUUUCAUUUAUUUAUUUAUUUAUUUAUGAGGAUGAAGGGAUGAAGGGUGGCUUGCCACGUGGCAAGAAAUAUUGUGCUUUCAUUUAGAUUUAUAGAUUUAUAGAUUUAUAGAUUAUAGAUUUAUAGAUUUAUAGAUUUGUAGAUUAGAAUUUUAGGGUGAUUUUCAUUAUUUUAAAGUUAAUAUAUCAUAUUUUAAAAUUGGAAAAGAGUACAACCUACAAAUAAAAAUCCGAUUCUAUUAAAAAAAAAAUAAAAAGUAGAGAUAAGCCGGUNCCGAUUCGAUUAAAAAAAAUAAAAAGUAGAGAUGAGCCAGUUCAAUAAAAAAUCAGUUUCGACACAAAAUAUAUAACAAAAAUAUGUCGAUUCAGCUCAAAAAAAUAAAUAGAAAGAAGAAGAGGUUCAAAAAAGAAUAAUUGAAAGAAGAGAAAAAAAAUCGAAUUCAAAGAAUAUAUAUAACAAAAUAGAUCAGUUCGAAUUAAAAAAAUUUAAAAAAAAAAUAAAAUAUGUAAAAAAAACUUGUUGGUUCGGUUCAAAGAAGAAUAUAAUUGAAAGAAAAGAAAAAAAAAUUAGAAAAAUUUUAAACUAAGGAAGAAGUGCCACGUCAUCUUACACAUUGGGGAUUAAUAAUGACUCAUACCAGGUUCACAUAUAACCCAACCAUACUAAGCCCAUUUGACCCUAACACACACACACACAUAUAUAGGUAUGACUCACAUCAAAAUGACUAACACAAACCAUGCAAACCUACGUGCAUGGGCCACCACUUUAACAGUUAAAAACACCAUACACCAUUUCUCGAUUCUAGUGGGAUGCUGGCCCUGGAGAGAUAGACGCCGGGGCCGGCGGCGGCGGCGGCGUUGACGGGUCGGAGGAAUCAUUUGCUGGAUAGCAGUAGCCGCGCAGUAUGUCUCCUUCUUGAGCCGUGAAGCCGAGGGACGCCAGCAAGACGUCGGUGGCCCAACAGUGAUGCUCGAUGACGCGAAUGGCCCGGCAGCAGCUCGGGCCCAGGUACGUUUCACCGUUGAGGAAGAAGAGGAUUACCUCCCCCGUGCACGACCGGAGCUCCACCAGCGAGUCCCAGCACUGCUUCAUGCCGUCCGACUGCAGGCGGGCCGAAAGGCCGAUCGGGCCGAUGGGCCGAGCCUCCGACGACGUCGGAGUGGGCACGGUUGUGAGGGAGGAUGCUGCGAGCAAGAUAAAAAUAGAUUGUUUGAAGAGAGAAGCCAUGAGAAACUUCAGUGGAGACACUUGUGAGUGAUCAUAUGAAUUGAUAGAUGUUCAUAAAAAUAUUCAUAUUUAUAGAGGUGGAAUCGAUCAAUAAAUAUGAAUAGGAAAAUGAAAAGUGAAAGGGCAUGCAUGCAUAUAUACGUUUUAAGGAAUGUAAGAAGGUCUCUUAGAUUGAGGUGUAAUAAUAAUUAAUCAAUUAAUGGUGGUGGGAGAAACAAAAUUAAGGAAUUUGUAACAUCUUAAUUAAUUAUUAAGGAAUGUGGAGGGUUUUUAAUUAGCUAGUGGAAAAAUUUGGGUCCUAUGUGGACUCGAGCCCAGUUAAGAUUUGGAUAGAGCCAGGUUAAUUUUGUUGAUUGGUUGUUGGAUUUGGGUCAAGAUAAAACCAACAAUAAGCCCUAACCUAGUGUUUGACUCCUGAAAAAGUGUGGAAAAUUAUUUUUAAAAAAUUUAUUUGUUUAUUUUUUCAUGAAAAACACAUUUCUCCAUAAUUUUUUAUUUCUCUGAUAAAAAAUUUAGAAAAGUAAAGUACUAUUUUUUAUGAAAUCUGAAACGAAUGAAAAUUAUUUUUUCAGUUAGAAAAUUAUUUUCACAAAUAAUUUAUAGAAAAAAACUAAACACCUCCUAAGAGAUUUAGUAUUANAAAGUAAAGUAUUAUUUUUUAUUAAAUCUGAAACGAAUGAAAAUUAUUUUUUCAGUUAGAAAACUAUUUUCACAAAUAAUUUAUAGGAAAAAACUAAACACCUCCUAAGAGAUUUAGUAUUAAUUAUGAGGUACAUAUAUAUGAAUAGUUAGCUUAAUGGAGAAUAACUUGAGAAGUAAAAGAAUCAUUAGAAACGGUAACAUUAUUCUUUGUCACAAUUACUGCAUUAAGGAUUAGUAACAUCUCAAUCAUUAAUAAGCAUGCUCUAUAAUUGAAAGAAAAGAAAAAAAAAAUUAGAAAAGUCCUAAACUAAGGAGGAAGCGCCACGUCAUCUUACACAUUGGGGAUUCAUUAUAUGUAAUAGAUUAGUAUAGUAACUCAUGUGAUGUGAUUAACAAAUAAUUAAAGAAAAAAUAAAAAACGGCAACAAAGAAAGAGUAAACGACGAUGGAAGAAGUGACGGUGAGGAGAUUCAUCCCGCCGAUAAACGAAGAUAAAAGUUGAAGAAAGAGGAAAAGAAAUAGUUCGGUCUAAUGCAGAGAUGUGAUCCAGUUUGGUUCAAUAAAAAAAAAAUCCGAUUUGGUUCAAGUAAAAAAAAAGAAAAGCGUGAGACGGUUUGGGGUAAAGCCUACACUCGAUAGUGAUCGAUUCAGUUCAAGUAAAAAAAAAAAAAAAAAUUGGUUCAAAGAUGAAAACAUGUGGAGCAGUUGAGCUGGUUCAGGGCAAUGUAACCUAUUGAUCUGAUUCAUUUCAAGUAAAGAAAGGGAGAAAUUAAGUUCGUUCCACGUAAAGAAAGAAAAAAAUAUGUGAAAAGCUUAAGCCGGUUCGGAGGAGUCUACAUUUAACAAUGAUCAACUCAAUUCAAGUAAAGAACAAGAAAAAUCCAAUUCGACUGAAGCAAAAAAAAAAGAAAAAAGAUACGUGUAGAACUUGAACAGUUUCUGGAUGAAGCCCACAUUUAAUAAUGAAAGGAACGUUAUCAUGUAGCAAAACUAAAAGAAAUAACGUAUAAGGAUAGAUUGAUAUCAUUAAUGUCACUUAAAUUUUCUAUAGUGAUAUUCAAAGUUUUCUACAUUAUUAAUGUCGCUUAAAUGAUAUUCAAAAUUUUCUGUAGAGUAGUUUCAAAAUUUAUUAGAACUAAGAUUAGGAUAAUGCUAUUUGACAUGAGAUAACAUGAGAGAUAUUUAUGAUAUUUUUAGAAGUAUUUGUGAUAGUUUAAGAUUUUGAGGAGUACCUAUGAAGCUGUCCCUAAAAAAAUCUGCAGUUUUGAGCUCUCACAACCUCGUUUCAAAAUUUGGAAGAUAUCGCUCCUUGACUUUCGAAUUUUAUGUAGUACAAUUUUUAGACGGUGUUCUUAAGGUAAGAAACUUAUAAGCAACUUUAAAGGAAAAAAAGUUAUAUACUUACAGGGAUCGCAUUUAAUUUGGAAAUUUGAAUACGAGUUUUUACUUUUUAGCCGUUCAAAUUUCACACUUUGAUAAAUAAUAUGACUUGAACACUCGUACAAGACGAUAGCAUACCCUCACCCUCUUUUCAUACGCACAAGACAUAAACUAUAAUGAAUGUUGGUGCAAAUAAAAUUUAUUUUUGUCCAAAUAUGGAAUAAGUAAUGAGAUUUGAAUUCUUUUAAUUAACCCUUCAACUCAGUUUGUUUUACUUACAGUAUGGCGUUGGACCACUGUGUUAGUUAAUUCGCGUAUAAUACGCGAAUUAUACGCGAACAAAUUGAAAACCGUAUAAAAUGCUCCGAAUACGAAUUGUUUUCCAAAAAAUCAAAAAACUCGUUUUUUUUCCCCUCGCUCAGAUUAUUCACGAUAAAAAUGGUUUUUCCGAAUUAUAUUUUGAAAAAUUCGGAUGUAGCAGCGGUGGAAAGAAGAAAUUUCUUGUGAAUUUUGGAUUUGGUGGUUGCGGAUUGAUGAAAGUUUUUGGACCGGCAUCGGGUGAGCAUUGUUCCACAAAUUUGUGCACCUCCUCGUGAGCAGUCGAGCAACUUUGCCUGUUCAAUUUUGAAGGAAAUAUGAAGACGAAGCGAAGCAAAGAAGAAAAGGGGCGAGCGAGGAAGGAGGACCCUGGAAAAAAUCGCGAUGUACAUUGGGAAAUAGCGGGGUCCAUGAGGCUGCACUCAGCGUCAUGGACCAUGUGGAGUGAGAGGUCCACCGUGCUGCAAUCAUAUAUAUAUAUAUAUAUAUAUAUGAUUUUAUAUAUUAUUUUAUAUUAGUUUAUUUUUAUAUUUAUAAAAAUUAUAAUUAUUUAUGAUAAUGACAUAAAUCUGAAAAAAAUUUAAUAGCCUAAUUAAGGAUAUUUUUCAUAAUUAUGAGUAUUUAUACUAAUAGCAUAAAUCUAGAGAAAAAAAAAAAUUAACAGCCGAAUUUUUUUAUCUCGAAAUUUUAAUUGGUGCACGUAUAAUAUUCGUAUAAAUCACGUAUCCGAAUAAUUUACAAAUCUAUUUUUUAGCCGUAUUUUUAAAAAAAUUUAAAAUUAAAAUACAAAUUUUAUCCGUAUUAUAUUCGUACCGAAUUUUUGCCAAAUCCGAAUUAACUACCUAAGUUGGGUCACAACAUACAUACCGAUUAUUCAGAUACAACUUUAUUUCGCACAGAUGUAUGAGAAUUGGGUAAAUUGCACUAAAGGUCUCUAAAAUUAAAAAUUUAGUUUGGAGACUGUCUGCGUUAAUUUCGCUCAGGCAUCAUUUGAGAUAGGCCAUGCCAAACUAGGCCCCGCCCUCAACUACACGCCACGCCCUCAUCAACAGAACAUUCCAAACUUGGUCCCCUAACAUUUCUUCUUCUUCUUCUUUUUUUUAAAAAAAAGAGUUUAUUUUUUGUUUUAAAUUUUUUGAUAAAUUGAGAUGUUUUAGUGAAAUAUAUUAAGAAUUUUAUCAGAUUUUCCGUGAUUCCAUCAAAUUUAAAAGUUUUGACCAUUCCUAGCAAUUGAAACUUGAAUAAUUUAUAACUAACUAGAAUUGCCCCAAUUAAACAACUUUAGAAGAUAAACAUAUGUUAAGAGUUGAGGAGUCAAAUUCAAAGGAGCCUAUGAUUGAGCGCGUCUUCAUAGAGAUCUACCGAUUAUCUGCUCAUGUAUGCAGCAACCAGAGCUAAACUAUGUUUAUCAGGGCAAUAAUUCGCCCUUUUUUUUUUCAUGAUCUUAAGAACAUGGUUAUAAGCUUUAAUUAAAAUUACAGAGCUUGAUAACAAGUCGAACAAGUUUAUGACAAAAAUAAAUAUAUAUUAUAAGCACAGUCCCAAAAAAUUGUGGGAGCAUCAGAUUUAAUUACUUGGUAUCAUAUUACACGAACGAGCCAUAUUUCAUGCGGAAUAUAUUAAACAAAUAUGAAAAUACAUGAUGUGCAACAUAAUAUUUGACGCAUAUUGGGUGCAAUUAAUUCUAUGCACAUAUGCAUUUUGACUGUUCAAAUUGGAUGGUCCAAAUAGAACGAUCAGUCUUGAUUGAUAUAUAAGGUAUAUAUUUCAUUCAGUUACAUAUUUUAUUAGGAAAUAAAUCCAAUUUCAUUUGUUCCCUUUGUUUUUAAUAAAAUAGAAAUCAUUCACUAGGCUCAGCCUAAAUCUAAUAUUCAUAGUAAGGGUACCGACCGUCCCUAGAGCAAGUGACAAACGGCUUGGUGGUUGGUAUCCGACACUCAAGUUCGAAUCCUAGUUGAUUUACAUUUCUAGCUAAGUUUAUUUCUAAGUGAAAUAAAACGAAGUAGGUAGUAUGCUAUCUAUUUCUCAUAUAUAUAUAUAUAUAUAUAUAUAUAUAUAUAGAUAUUAGAAAAAAAAAUGUCGAGCUCAAUUAUAAAAAGAUUCAUUUAUAUAUAAAGUUGCAACUAUUCGAUCAAAAUCUAAUAGGUAAGAUUUUAUAAAUUUAUUUUUUAUUUAUAUAUCCAAUCUAAUUCAUUUAAUUUAUUGUUCGUUGGUCAGCUCGUGUUCGACUCGUUUAUUAAUGAGUCGAACACAAGUUGAAUUUUUCGGCUUGAUACUUUAACGAGUCAACUGGUGUUCAGCUCGAACACGAGUUGGCUCCAGCUCACUCGUGUUCGGCUCGUUAAUACUUAGAUCUUAGACAUCAUGAAAGCGCAGUUUGAAUAUCAAAAUAAGUUAUUCAAAGAGAAGAAUUGCUUGGGUGAUUAUAAGAAAGAAGUUUAAUUUUUUUCUCCAAGAAAAGAAUUUGAUAUCCAUAGUUAGAUAGCAUGAUAUAUUUUAUUUAUGAGAUUAUUUAAUUAUCUUAUCCAGAAAAUGACUUUCACAGGCUGCAUUAAUAUCAAAUUUUAAAUUUUUGAUCACACUGCUCAUAUAUUAAUAUUAUGUACAAAAUUUUCAAAUAAUAUUUAUAAAAUAUAUCAAAUAAGGUAUUCAUAAAUCCAAAUAGGGCCGAAGUUAGGACGGUAUAAACCAAGUUCAUUCAUCGAAACCAAACCGUACCUAACAACACGUCUUUUAUUAGAUAGUAACUGCCAAAGAGGACGGACCUGGACCAUGUCUCGUGGGCCUACUACCAUGUCUCGCGGAGGACCAUGUCGGUCCAUGAGAACACCUAAUAUUUUUUUAAAAAAUUUUAUUUUAAUAGAAUUAAUUUUUUUAAACCAUAUUAUUUAUUUAUGUAUAAUUAAUGACUAGUUAUUGUAAUAGAAUAAAAUUUUCUCAUUAUAGUAAUAUUUUUUUAAAAAAAGAUUUCUUUUUCAUUAUUGUUAAAAAUUUUUUGAUCCGUCUUUGUUUUCUCCAUCUUAUUAUGGUACAAAUUAAGAGAAAGCUAGAGUACUAUUAUAUACAACCCUUUGUUAAGAUAUUGGUGUGGCUAGGUCGAGUUAGGCUCAACGACAAGCCAUUAUUUCCACCCUAGUGUGCGCGCAUACACAAUUUGCAUUGCAUAAAGAGACACAUGUGAUCCAUUUUAUAGUACUAAUAAGCAACACUAGUACACAAUACUUAAGGAGAACAUUCAAUUGUAGAUAUUCAAACUUACAUGCUCACUGGACACACCGAAACAGAACAGAAACCACAAUGUCGAAGCAAGCUUAGCAAUUGGAUGCAGCUAACAUCCUUAUUUAUGUAAGUUAAGCAAACAAGAUAGCAAACUGCAGUGCAUUGCUAAAUCAUUUGCUUCCGACUUAUGCGUAGCUUCAAGUUUCAGAAACCAUCUUAAUAACUUCGACAUUGGCCCCUGAUUGUAGAGUGGGAUAGAGAGGAGCCAUGGCGAUUCCACAUAAUCCAGAUGAUGAUGACACACCUCUUGCCAUACGGACGUAUCCACGCUCACCCCAUGAGCUACCCCACGAGUUCCUUACUAUCCAAUAUUUUGUUCCACUGCUAUCCUGCCCGUAACCUAUAAUGGUGAUGGCAUGAUUGAGACUAGUUCCACAAGGUCCGCUAUACACACCGCCUCGGUAAUAUUGAAAGUUGUUUCCGCUGGCAUCGAUAAGAGCAGCUAUUGGUUGUUUCGACACAGCGUACAUCAUGCUGCGUUCGUUGUUCCUUUGCACAUAUGUAUAACCAGUAAUGUAAGCUGAGUUGGGCACGCUAUUGGCAGCGCAAGUGCCUUUGUAUCCUUGAUAAGGAUAGUAAGCUGCGGAGGUCACACCAUUGUUAGAUAUGAUGAAAUCGUAGGCCUUGUCCACCCAGCCGCCUUUGCACCCGUAGCUAACAGCACAAUCGAGAACUUCUUGCUCCGAUAGAGAUACUAAGUACCCUGUUUUGAUCUUGUAGAUUCCUUCCACUGUUGCAAUUGCACUGAAUGCCCAGCAAGAACCUAUGCCAAAACAAAGAUAUGCGUUCGCAUAACUACUGUUAGCAAAGUUAUAUAUGAUAUAGCCAUGAUAUAAGGAAACAUUCAAACUGACAUAAUUAGAUGUUAUUUGCAAGUACAGAGCUGCUUUUAACUUGUUUCAAUAGUUGUCAUGCAUAUGGAUGUCCUGUUCUUUCUGACUAGCACUUACUUUGCUUACUUCAGUAAUAUGAUUAUUGCAGUAACUUAAUUAAUAGUAAGAGACCCAGCAAUAGAUCUAACUUGCAGAUAGAUUGAAUCGAGUCGAAGCCUGUGAACAUUGUGCUUGAAUUCUUAAAUGCGAUGGAUGUGUCCUUUUUAUCACCAUGUAUGUAUUUUUGGAUGGUUUAUUAGCACUUACAUAUACAUUUGAUGGCUAAGUUGAUUUUUUAUUAACUAGAUUCAAUACUUCAUUUCCUUGUACACUGAUAAUAUGUGAUAAUACAUGUUUAGACCCUUUUAAUCAGCCAAAGUAAUGGAAUCAUUGAGUUUUAAUGGGUGGAAAUUUGGUCCUUUUGUCCAAAAAAGGCAUAAGGCAUUCGGUAGCAAGCAUAUUUGAUCUAAGCAACAUGUUAUAAAGUUAACUAAGAAUAGAUUUUUUUUUUUUCUAGCUGAAGAAAUGAAGGUGCUUUGAUAAUUUAUAGUCGAGAUUUCUUACCACAGCUGCCUUGAUUCCUGACACUUGUUACAGCACCAUAGUCUCUCCAAUCAAUACUUUGAGCCACCGCGGAGAUGUCUACGUCAUCAAACGACUCCACUAGCUCUGUCUCGAUAUUUAGUGGGAGAGAUACUCCAGUAUAUUGAGAAAUAAAUUCGUUAUUUGUCUUAUCGGUAAACUGAUUGAUACCGAGAGUGUACGAAUUUUCGCUAUGGUUGUUAAAGGUUUCAAUAUGGUUCACGUUGUUCUUGAAUAUCUGAAACCGCCGCAUCUUCUCGUCG